ensembl:lncRNA
UCCCAAACUUGGGUUUGUGAAUGAACUGCAGGGAGUUCAUCGUUUUUUAGCCAUCAGCCUGCAUGAUUUUAAUGUAUUUUUAAAUAAUCAUGUUAGACAGUGAAACUCAGGAUGGAAAAUUACAUUACCCAUGAUUCUGCAGAGCAAUCACCACCAAAUUGCACCAAAAUAAUAUUUUAGCAUCUAAAAUUUCCCAGCUCUCUCCAAAUUAUCUAGUAUUUUGCAAUAAAUGUAAAAUAUAUUGUCAACAUUUCUAAAUCAAUCAUUGUAUAUUUCUUCAUUGUUUUAAUUCAUCUCACUCACAAUUUAGAUCCAGAUUUAUUAAACAAUGCAAAUUAGCAUAAGAUAGUAAUCCCAUGAAAGAACCAAUGGGAGUGGAAAGUUCUGCAGUAGAUCUACUGACAAUGCAUACAAUAAAGAACACAGAUGCAGCCAGAUUAUUUCCAUAAUGACAACUGCAAUCUACCGAGAGCAGCAUCUCUCUUUUUUUUUUUUAAGUGUUAAAUUAUGGCACGAAUACCAAUAAACUGACUUGCACAAACCUUAGUAAAUUGUUGCAUGAUUCAUUUAAAUGCUUUCCUCCCAUAAAUUUUGCGUCUGACAGGGAAACUCCAACAAAUGCAAAUGCUAUAUUAGGAAGUAUCAGACUGCUGGAUGGUGCAAUUAGCCAAUCAGAGUCACGUAUUCCAGAGAGCUGUGUAAUAAUUAAUGAGAGGUUUCAAACAAAGAUACUGGCAUUUGACAGCGGUUAGUUAAUGAUCUUGAAGAUCCUGGCAAUUAUUGUUGAAACAACAUAUAUCAAAUUAAUUGGGAUUCUAACACCCCUGCCAUGCUGGUGAGGUUAAUUGCGUUACUUGUUGGGGAAAAUGUGAUUUACAUGUGUGCCAUUGUACAAGGACAGAGGUUGGGCCAAUAUGAGAGGUUUCGAAGCCGGUUACAGCUCUGUACAUUCAAGCACGGGUCAGAUGUGAAUUAAAUGACCUGCGAAGACUUCGGGAGAUUGUGGUUUCAGAGUGGCAUUAAGGAGGAGAUUGUUAGGCAUAAAUUGUAAACAGUACCUUCAUGUUUAGACUAUCAAAGGCUUUUUUGGUCCUCUUUAUUUUUUGUAUUUUUUUUUUUUAAUUGUAGCAUCUGCAUGUAGUAAUAUAAAAGCAGACCAGUUUUGAUUCACUUUUUAAGUGACUGGGUUAUUUUCUCAUUUGAACAGAAGAUGUAUUCUUACUUUUAGCAGCUCUGUGAUGCUGCUACUGAACUUGUAAGCCCAUUAAGUCCAUGAUUUCCCAGAAUCACCAACCUUAAAAAUGUCAUUACUCUAUUCCAACUCUGCACUUUGCCACAAUUCAACCCUUUGUGACUUUGUUGAUGUCAACCUUAUUGUAGCACUAAACAAUUCAGCUGCACUCUAAUCUCAUCAGACAUUAAUCACAGGAGACUUUGCUCUGAUGUGGUUAGAUGAGUUGUUCUGAAGUAGCUGCUAAAGGGGGAAGAGCGAAUCAUGAAUAUUGCUGAUGUUAGAAAGAACUCCCACUCCCAUAUAAUGGACUGGAGUCAUGAAUGUAGGUUGUUCCAAAAUGCAGGCAGAAUAAUUAUGCCUCCUUCUAAGAUCUCUAAUUUCAGCUAAAUUCUAAAGCAGCAUAGCAUGCAUUCUUUGUGGUAAAGCCAUACUUCAUCCUGUCAGCAUUUACAUUAACCACUCUCAUGUUCCUCAAAACUAACUUUUUUCCCCCCUCUGGAACAUAAAAGGAGAGAUGUUAAAGAAUUCAUAAUUGGGCUUGCUUUUUAUUUCUGUAUUUUAUUUAUUUAGAAAUAUAAAUAUAAUGUUUUACUAUUAAAAUGGUAUAAUGUUUUAAAUAUUUGUAAUAUAAUGUUACAUUUACUAUAAUAUUUAAUAUAUAACAUUUUUACGAUUAUUGUUAUUAUUAUUAUUAUUAUUAUUAUUAUUAUUAUUAUUAUUAUUAUUAUAUUUGGUGUAAUGCAAUGUGUUUAUGCGGUUUAAGGUUCAAAAAACACAUUAUUUUCCACAUAAUGUACAUUAUGGUUUCUCCUUUAUGCCCGCCUUUCUGAAACACGUCAAUUUUUACAAAGCUCAUCAUUCUGAAAAGUGAGGUGUGCUCUAAUUGGCCAGCUAUCCAGUGCAUUGUGAUUGGCCGAAUGCCUCAAGCGUGUGACGGAAAUGUUACGCCCCUUACCAUACUGUGAUGCCGUCUCCUGGCACAAGCAGACGAAACCAAUAAAACCCAUUAGAAAUGAAGCAUUUGUUGCAUCAGUGCCCCCGUGUCAACUAGCUUGGCCCCUGCUCUGGCCCCCUUAAAUUUGGAAUCGUAUCACACAAAACAAUUUUAGUUGCGAUGUGCAGUUUGUCCUGUGGGUGGCAGUAAUGGAAAAAAUAAAACGUCACCAGCUGCUACUGUUGCAGAGCCAGAAGGUUUUUAUUUAUUUUUAUUUUUUUGUUUACAGCGCUGCGCAUUAAAAUCAAUAAUACAUGAUUCUGCUGCGCUUAUAAAUGCAGUGGCCAAUCAGAUGCGUUCAUAUGAGUCAUUGCCGAAACGCCAGUGUUUGUAUAAAGUGCGCACGCUCGCUGACUGAAUUCUGCUCUCUGGCGAAUUUUCUCAUCAUAAACAACAAAGUGCAGAUGUGUGUAGGAAUGUAAGUAAGAUAUUCAUUUUAAAGAGAUAUUCAUUUUAAAUAAGAUAUUCAUUUUAAAGGGCGUUUAUAAGAGUGCUUGAUCUCGGGCUAGAAUGAAGUCAGUGAUAUUGUUUUUUAUAAUGUAUAUGUUCUUUGCUCUCUUUCUGUAAUGUAAAAGGAUUAUAAUUUGUAAUUUACAAUGUUUUUAUUAAAUUCAAAUUAAAUACAAAGUCAGUCGUAUUAAAAAUAUUUUAUGGCAUGACACCCAUAUCUGGUACUUAAGUAAAAAGAGGGUUUUUUGCAUAGUUUAAUAUUAAACUAUAGCUUGCAUAGUUUAUUAGAUUACGCUAUUAUGCUACUUUGCCCAAUGCCCUUUAUAGAUUAACUAACAUAAUCUAUAAAGGUACAAAAUGCAUUUACUUACUGUAUUUGAGAAUCAAAAUAUUUCAUGAUAUAGUUAACAUGUUUGGGAAUAUUUUGAAUAAAAAGUAAAAAAAUAAAUAAAACAUAAGCCUAUAUCAGUUAUACAGUGCUAUUGGGGCUGCUGUGUGUCACAUGACAAAGCAUGACGCCACUGAAACUACAAUAUAAUUUUUUUGGUUAGAUAAAUUAAACAUGAUGAAACAUUCAUUUGAGUUUAAAUUGUUAUAGCUUACUUCUAGAGAUUGUAGUGAUAAAUGACAUGGUAAAAAAUGACUGAAUUAAUAAUAUUGAAAGUAGAUUAAAAUGAAUUUUAAAAGUGUGCCCCCUAAAAGCGCAAGUGGCCCCUGCCUGGCCCCCAGUUACUGUGGUCUAGAACUACCACUGGUCUGACCUCUGUUGAUGCAUGCACAUACACGCGCACAAGUGCACAGAUCCAAGGUCCUCAUAACAUACAGUAGCUACAAUAAUCUACUGUUAAAAUACUUUAGCAUAUGCAUGGGAGACUUCAGUGAGUGAAGUAAAGGGCUUUUAGCUUAUUCCUAAAGCAUCAGCCAUGGGAAUGAGGGAUUUGCCGAUUGAACGGAAGGCUGAUACACAGCCACUUUUCCUGUGAUGGUGAAGUUUUAGUGUGACGCUCUUUCAUCUCUAGAAUCUGAAUGGCUGAUGGGCCUCCUUUAAACUAAAAAGAAACUUUUCUGUAGAUUAAUUUUUG